rnacentral:rRNA from 1 species
UACGUAGGGUCCGAGCGUUGUCCGGAUUUAUUGGGCGUAAAGAGCUCGUAGGCGGCUCAGUAAGUCAGAUGUGAAAACUCAGGGCUCAACCCGGAGACGCCAUCUGAUACUGCUGUGGCUUGAGUCUGGUAGGGGAUCACGGAAUUCCUGGUGUAGCGGUGAAAUGCGCAGAUAUCAGGAGGAACACCGAUGGCGAAGGCAGUGAUCUGGGCCAGUACUGACGCUGAGGAGCGAAAGCAUGGGUAGCGAACAGG